rnacentral:rRNA from 1 species
AACGAACGCUGGCGGCAGGCUUAACACAUGCAAGUCGAGCGCCCCGCAAGGGGAGCGGCAGACGGGUGAGUAACGCGUGGGAACGUACCCUUUUCUACGGAAUAACGCAUGGAAACGUGUGCUAAUACCGUAUGUGCCCUUCGGGGGAAAGAUUUAUCGGAAAAGGAUCGGCCCGCGUUGGAUUAGCUAGUUGGUGGGGUAAAGGCCUACCAAGGCGACGAUCCAUAGCUGGUCUGAGAGGAUGAUCAGCCACAUUGGGACUGAGACACGGCCCAGACUCCUACGGGAGGCAGCAGUGGGGAAUAUUGGACAAUGGGCGCAAGCCUGAUCCAGCAAUGCCGCGUGAGUGAUGAAGGCCUUCGGGUCGUAAAGCUCUUUUACCAGGGAUGAUAAUGACAGUACCUGGAGAAUAAGCUCCGGCUAACUCCGUGCCAGCCGCCGCCGUAACAC